rnacentral:rRNA from 1 species
UCCUACGGGAGGCAGCAGUGAGGAAUCUUGCGCAAUGGGCGAAAGCCUGACGCAGCCACGCCGCGUGCCGGAUGACGGCCCUAUGGGUUGUAAACGGCUUUUACUAGGGAAGAACGAGAGGGUUUUGAUCUUCUGUGACGGUACCUAGUGAAUAAGCACCGGCUAACUCCGUGCCAGCAGCCGCGGUAAUACGGAGGGUGCAAGCGUUGUCCGGAAUCAUUGGGUGUAAAGGGUGCGUAGGCGGGAGCCUAAGUCUGGGGUGAAAUCUUGCCGCUUAACGGUAAAAUGGCCUUGGAUACUGGGUUUCUUGAGUGCAGAAGAGGCAGGUGGAAUUCGUGGUGUAGCGGUGAAAUGCUUAGAUAUCACGAAGAACAUCAGUGGCGAAGGCGGCCUGCUGGUCUGCAACUGACGCUGAGGCACGAAAGCGUGGGGAGCGAACAGGAUUAGAUACCCUGGUAGUCCACGCCGUAAACGGUGGGCACUAGGUGUGGGUUCCAACCAACGGGAUCCGCGCCGUCGCUAACGCAUUAAGUGCCCCGCCUGGGGAGUACGGCCGCAAGGUUAAAACUCA